AUGUCUUUAAUGCUUUUUAAUCUAUUCGGGUGUUUUCCUCAGGUUCUUCCAGCCCCUCCUUCCCCCCGACCAUGUGUACUGAUGACACCUGAUGCUCUCACCACCUACAGGACCAAGGAAAUAAAUACCAGAAGCCAAGAGCACAGAAUAUUUUCCUUCAUCAAUCCACAAACCCUGAUACUUCUCUAAUUCCAUCAAACACAAAGGAAUGAUCACC
rnacentral:lncRNA from 1 species